GCAAAACUCUAUGCUUCCGCGGCGGCCGGCGGCCUCCUGCGAUCCGGCCUCGCUGAGCCAUGAUCAACCCACGAUGACGAGUGGCGGACGGGUGAGUAAUGCUUGGGAACUUGCCUUUGCGAGGGGGAUAACAGUUGGAAACGACUGCUAAUACCGCAUAAUGUCUACGGACCAAACGGGGCUUCGGCUCCGGCGCAAAGAGAGGCCCAAGUGAGAUUAGCUAGUUGGUAAGGUAACGGCUUACCAAGGCGACGAUCUCUAGCUGUUCUGAGAGGAAGAUCAGCCACACUGGGACUGAGACACGGCCCAGACUCCUACGGGAGGCAGCAGUGGGGAAUAUUGCACAAUGGGGGAAACCCUGAUGCAGCCAUGCCGCGUGUGUGAAGAAGGCCUUCGGGUUGUAAAGCACUUUCAGUUGUGAGGAAAAGUUAGUAGUUAAUACCUGCUAGCCGUGACGUUAACAACAGAAGAAGCACCGGCUAACUCCGUGCCAGCAGCCGCGGUAAUACGGAGGGUGCGAGCGUUAAUCGGAAUUACUGGGCGUAAAGCGCACGCAGGCGGUUUGUUAAGCUAGAUGUGAAAGCCCCGGGCUCAACCUGGGAUGGUCAUUUAGAACUGGCAGACUAGAGUCUUGGAGAGGGGAGUGGAAUUCCAGGUGUAGCGGUGAAAUGCGUAGAUAUCUGGAGGAACAUCAGUGGCGAAGGCGACUCCCUGGCCAAAGACUGACGCUCAUGUGCGAAAGUGUGGGGUAGCGAACAGGAUUAGAUACCCCGGGUAGUCCACACCGUAAACGCUGUCUACUAACUUGGGUGUGUCUUUAAAGACGUGGCGUAGCCGAAGCUAACGCCGCUAAGGAAAACCGGCCUGGGGGAGUACCGGCCGCCAAGGGUUAAAAACUCCAAAUGGAAUUUGACCGGGGGGCCCCGCACAAAGCCGGUGGGAAGCAUGGGGGGGUUUAAAUUCCGAUGGCAACCGCGGAAGAAAACCUUUACCCUACCCCUUUGAAAAUGGCCGAAGAAACUUUUCUUAGAAGAAUAGAUUUUGGGGGGCCUUUCGGGGAAACUCCAGAACCCCAGGGGGUCUUGCAAUGGGCGUUGUCCGUCCAAGCUCCCCGGUGUCCGUGGGAAAAAUGUUGGGGGUUUAAGAUGCCCCCGGCAAAACGAAGGGGCGAAAACACUCUUUUGGGC
rnacentral:rRNA from 1 species